rnacentral:rRNA from 1 species
GACGAACGCUGGCGGCGUGCCUAACACAUGCGAGUCGAGCGAAUGAAGUUCCUUCGGGAACGGAUUUAGCGGCGGACGGGUGAGUAACACGUGGGCAACCUGCCUCAUAGAGGGGAAUAGCCUUCCGAAAGGGAGAUUAAUACCGCAUAAGAUUGUAUUACCGCAUGGUACAGCAAUUAAAGGAGCAAUCCGCUAUGAGAUGGGCCCGCGGCGCAUUAAUUAGUUGGUGAGGUAACGGCUCAACAAGGCGACGAUGCGUAGCCGACCUGAGAGGGUGAUCGGCCACAUUGGGACUGAGACACGGCCCAGACUCCUACGGGAGGCAGCAGUGGGGAAUAUUGCACAAUGGGGGAAACCCUGAUGCAGCAACGCCGCGUGAGUGAUGACGGCCUUCGGGUUGUAAAGCUCUGUCUUCAGGGACGAUAAUGACGGUACCUGAGGAGGAAGCCACGGCUAACUACGUGCCAGCCGCCGCAGUAA